GUAUCAGUCUCUCUCGCUCGACGACAGACUCCGACCUGAACGAGAAGAAAUGUCGGCGAUCCAGAAGAUCUCUCGCCUCGUGCACGACCUGGACGAGCUCGCGGCGAGCUACACAAAGACCUCCGACGAGAUCGACACGCUGCAGGAGGCCAAGCGGCACAUCAAGAACGAGCUCAAGUCCGCGCGACAUGAAGGCCUCCGACCGGAACCUCCUGAAGGCCGAAAAGAGGACCGCCAUCCAGAAAGCUCGAGCGCCAGUGGGCUUGUGCAGGACAAGCAGAUGCGGCCCAUUUCAACUUGAACCGGCUCAAAAGGCCCAGUCGCGAGGCUCGCGCUCGCGCGCUUAUCUUCAUCGGCGCGUCCGCCGCCGAUGCUUUGGCUCGGUCGAGCGAGCCGCCGCGAGAGCUACCGGCGAUGGCUCUUCAAGCUCCUCUUCUCUUCUUAUCAUCUCCUCCUCCGCUCCCUCCGUCCACAUGCGACCCCGAGAUGAGCUCACAUGGCGUUCCUUCGCGUUUUCAAGUCAAGCCCAUCUUGUCAAGAAGACCCAGAAACUCUCCGAGCUGGGUGAGGGCCACAUCUUCUCAGAAGCACGUGUACCCUGAUCCCAUCCCGGAAUUCGCAGCAUCUGUGUGUUUCCUAUUCCUUCAUAAACCUCUCCUGCUCGUGGUCGCGUCAUGUGCCUGAAUUUCGCGAUUCUUGUCUUUUCUUUUUCGUUUUUUGACCUGAUGAGUCGUGUGUGGUCUGUGAAUGUGUUGCGUUCCACAAGGAGACGCGCAAGUUCGAGGGUGAGCUCAGGGAGAAGCUGUCCGGGGACGUUGACACAAUUGGGGAGGAUCUUGAUUCGGUCAUACGAGUGCGCACCCAGGAUUGUUAACUUAGACUGCUGUGUCUUCAAGCUCAGCUAUCCAGCGAAUUUCUCCAUGAGGAAUAUGGAGGACCUGGGACAUUGCUGGUGGAUCCUUUUACAGAUAUGCUCGUCGCCCUUAAGGAGAACAAUUUGACUGGAGCUACUCUCGCUGUGCGAGCAUCGAUGCUGUGGGCUCAAAACUUUGUUGAUCAGGACUGGGAAAUUUGGAACACGAGACGAUCGAGCUGAAUUGUAUUAUUGUGCUGUCUCAAAUGUUGUACACUUAAUGCAUUAUGACCGUGAUAAUGAUUAAACAAUAGAGUAUUCGUGAAUUUUCAUGAAAACAUAUUCGAUUGCUGCUGCUUAUGACUUGACUGUA